GCUCGCUAGCUUAGUUGGUAAAGCACUUGUCUAGCGGAUAAGGGUCGUGGAUUCAAAUCUCACCUGAGCA
rnacentral:tRNA from 1 species